UACGGAGGGUGCAAGCGUUAUCCGGAUUCACUGGGUUUAAAGGGUGUGUAGGCGGGCUGUUAAGUCAGUGGUGAAAUCUCAAGGCUCAACCUUGAAACUGCCAUUGAUACUAUCAGUCUUGAAUCUUGUUGAGGUAGGCGGAAUAUGUCAUGUAGCGGUGAAAUGCUUAGAUAUGACAUAGAACACCGAUUGCGAAGGCAGCUUACUAAACAAGCAUUGACGCUGAGGCACGAAAGCGUGGGGAUCAAACAGG
rnacentral:rRNA from 1 species